AGCAAAUGUGCCACGUCAAGACUGGAAAUCACAGCCCUUGAGUGUGUCUCAGUCAGUGCAGCAGAAUUCUGGGGGGAGAGCCGAAAGCUACCCCUGGUGCAGGAAGGGAGGCUUUUCCCAAAGACCGGGAGAGGAUUUUAAGUGCAUAGAUGGAAGCUUCUGGAGAUCCUGCUCCGUCGCCCCAGUGUUCAGACUACCUGUUCAGGACAAUGCCGUUGUACAGUAGUCUGCACAUUGGUUAGACUGGGCAAGGGAGAGCAACGCUGUGGACGUCCGGGGACCAAAGUGGCUGUUUCCAAGGAGAAGACUUUUGUCUGCUUUUUCAAAUCUCACGCCCAGUGUUUUUCUUCACAGGUUUUGCACACUAGGGACCCAGAAGCCCUCGGGGACACUGCUGAGAAAGGACCGCUCGAAAGAAGACCUGUGGGUAAGGCCUUCUUGAGUGCUCACCUGGUCUGUGCCCAGGAGAACCGAGGUGGGGAGCCAAGGGCCUGCGAGGGAAACGGAGGGCUCCGUGUGGUGGGGAGCAGCGCGGCCACCCUCGAGGGAGGAGCAGCCUGGGGUACAGAGCGAUUUAUUGUAUGCUAUUUGAUUUCUGAAGACUCAUACGUCAAGUAUUUCCUUAAGUUCAAAGAUUUUCCCACUUCCAACCGAAACAUGAAAACACUCGAAACACUUCAGAGUAAUUUAAUGAGGCUGGUUUUUAAUUGUUGAACUUAAUAAUCCAAGGGCCUAAAAACUUAUCUGAGUAAGGGCUGCAGUAGAAAUUUUAACAUCCCAGGAUUGAAUCCAUUUUGCCUCCAAGUAAAGACUAUCUGCUAUUUGUAAAAUGCUAUCCGAACAGUGCUUUUUGGGAAAAUUUACUUACAUACUAUAUACUAUAAAUACCAGGAAUAGUAGUAUCUAACAAUAAAAGUAGAGGCUGCCAAGGUUUUGCCCACCAGACAAGGCAGACGGGACUGACCCAGAAAGAGCGCCAACCCAGAACUUAGUGAGUCAGCAACUGAUUAAGUCGGAGAAUAGCAGACACCUCUGUCUACAGAUACCCCACUACGUAUCUCUGUGGUACAGUUUUAUUUUUUUUUAAUCUGAAAAUGGUUGAUAAUUGCUGGUCAGCGGAGACCUCAUGCCGCUGCUAUUUUACGAUGCUGCUAUUUCCACGAGCAUUUAAAAUGAUAAGGCACUUUGUCUAGAAACCCGCUGAUAAAAAAGGAAUUUGUAAACAAAGGCACAGUUUUCUUUGGUCCGUUUCCAGCUGUCCUGGAGGUGAAGGGGGGUGGGGAGAAGGUGGGAGGGAGGAAAUCCCUCAAGCUGAAUGAAAUCCCAAUAGCGAGAAGAACAGAGAAAGUCUGGUUGCAACGUGAUCCAUGCUGCACUGUAAAGGUGGGCCUCCUAAAGAAAGUUCUGGAAGAAUGUUACUGCCUCACCCCUAAUUCCCUCAACCUCCAUUUUAUAGAACUAUUUUAUAUAAUGAAAACAUCUGUUCUAUAGGCUUUUAUGAAAAAAUGAAGAGCUCUCUUUUGUCCUCCUUUAAAUUCCUUAAAAUUACAGCAGUUCCUGAACAAAUCCUUUUCUAAAUGGUACAUUUUGUAACAAUCUAAAAAUUGUAACAAGUUCUCUUUUGUGAAACAUUUUAUGACAAAAAAGUUUCCCCAAGUUAUCUUUCGUGAAAACGAUUUACUUUUUAAACUACCCUUUUGAUCAUCCCCAAACUGGUAUAAAGAACAUAUAGGCUAUCUCUUCUAUUCAUACUUUUUAUUUGAAAAAAAGCAAGGAUAUCUAUUUAGUCAUCUUCUCCACUUCUCCACUUAAAUGAUAUGAUAAAGCCAUCCUUUGUUUUUUCUGUUGUGAUCUGGAAGCCUGCAUAUUAAUCAUUUUUAAUAGAACAAGAGAUAUUUAAAAUAUCCAUAGUUCCUCUUACACAAGGAAACUGAAAACAAACAAACAAACUAUGAGGUAAUCACAGAAGCUUAUUUUCUCAAGAAAUACAUUUUUACUAGUUGAUGCACUUACUAAAGAAGAAAUGUAGCUAUAAAAGACUUUGGCAAUGUUUAAAGUUUUCCGAAAAAUUUUUUUUAGACUAUAAAUGACAGAAUUUCACAGCUUGCUUUCCUUUCAUGUAUAUUUGAUUUAAAUGUCUUUCUUUACAUUAAAUGGCCUUUCUGAUUGUAAGAAACUAUCACUGCUCGCCCACCAAUUCUCUCCCUCAGGACGAACUUUAGUCUGGAGAUAGAGGGGACCCGAUGGUGUCCUUGGCAUAAGUACAGGAAUGGGAACCUUAAGAAUUGAUUUGUAGAGGGUUAGCCUAGGGGUGCCUACAAGUGUUCGGUGGAGUCCCGACAAGCCAUUUUGAUGCAAACUUUUAAAUAAUGAAAAGAAAUCCUACUUACUUUUAAAUCGGAUGGGCUAAAUUCAGGCUCAAAAGUAAAAGCUCACUUUAUAAAGCCCCGUGGACUGAAGGCAGGAUAGGAUGGCCAUUCAUACGCUGGGCUAUACCCCAGCAUGAAUACACAUGUAUCGUAAAAUAACCUGCUCUCUUUCCAGGGUAAUUAGAGCAAUGUUUAACUUUAUUUUGAUAUUACUUUAUAAGGAGAUAUACAAAUAUUUUAGAGGUCAUGGGAUCUAUUCCAGAGGAAACUAACAACAGUGACAUCUUCAACUCAAAUUACCCUUGGAUAUGAUCGUCGCAUGCAUCAUUCCCUUAAUUGAGCAGAGUUAACGGGAUCAGAUUAUUUAUGGGAGAGAGAGGGAAAGCUAUACAGAAUCCCAGUAAUUUUUAAUUUCCACCAAUAUACUCUUUGUAAGUGAAUCACUCUAAAUAUCUUCUUUUACACUGUAUGCAGUACCAAUACCAAAAUACUUUCGUAAGGUAUUUGUUUUUGCAUACUCUGACCUUGUAAUUAUCUAAAUAGCAGCCAAGUUUACUGAUGUUUUUGAUUCUGUUAGGACAAAAAAAAAAAAAAAAAAAGAAAGUUCUCUACUCAGAAUGAUGACCAGAAACAGAAUCAGACAUUUAUUUUCUUGAAAUCAAAUAAAUGGAAAAUUGCUCUUAUCAGCUCUUUGUUGAAACUGUACCAUAUCUAAUCAAUGCAUAAAAGUUCAGACGUGUAGAAAACUGCAUUUUUUUCAGCCUUUCAAAACAUUUUCCUCUCCAUAAAGUUUGUUUGCUAUUUUCUCAGAAUUUUACAGUUAAAGGGAAAUAACUACGCGUUUUCUUCAAAAUUCUUUGGAAAAAGUCCCAAACUCCACACUCCUUGGACAAUAAGGUUUUGUUUUAUUUUUGAAGAAAUCCCACUUACUGGAAUUUUGACUAUCUAAAUGUUUUGUUUUUUAAAGGGCAAGGGAAUUUAUUAAAUACCUCUAUGAAUGUGAAUUGAUCAUUGAUACUAAAAUAGCCAGUAGGAUUAUCCUUGAGCCACCAGAAUUACAUUUUCUAUCUGUGUUUUUAACACCAGUAACUCUUUCUUACAUAAAUUAUAAGAAAAUUUUCCAAGGGGUCUGGUUUUACUCUCUGGAUAUCAAAUGAGGUUUCCUUUCCUAUGUUUAAGAAACUAUUCUGCAACUGUGUGGUACUACCAAUGUCCAAAACAUAUUCUGAACAGCACUGUGGGAAACAACUUUUUAGUUUAUACCCUUUUGAUGCCUGGUAUGGCGCUAUAAUUAAUUAAGAAGAGGAGCGAGUAAGCUCACAACUGCUUCUUAUUUUGGUUUUCACACCCAUAACUAAAAACUUUGCAUUAAAAAGAACGUGAGAAAUUUAAAUACGUUCUCGCUGUUUUAUGACGUAUUGGCAAAAAUCCACCCCCUUGUAAAAAUCCCACUAGCAAAGCAUCUGAUACCAAAGUUGGCUGGUUGAACUGCCAAAGACAUUGGGCUCAUUGAUUAUUUUGAAAAUGGCUGCCGUUUCCAUGUCAAUGACAAGUUUCUUUUUCAUGGGCAGGGCUAUGGCACUUAUCUACCACAAGAAACAUGUAUAAACACAGUCUUUAUCUUUAACUUCAGUAUUAAAAUAUGCAGUUUUUGUGAAGAGGAAAAACAUCUGGUUCAAUUACUCUGAACUCUGACUGCAUGUGGGGCCAGUAAUACUACUAGGAAUUGGAUUUAAGAAUAAACCUUGUGUUUAAUCUUUUUUUUUUCCUGUUUUCUUUUGUUUUUUUCCUUAAAAUUUCAAUGUGAGUUUUCAGUUACGACCAUUCUCCAUGUUAGCACAUUUGGAACCGAUGUAAAAGUGUACUUUCUGAAUAAAGUCAAAAGUCUCACUUGUUUUAGUUCCAUAAUGUCGUAAUGUUUAAUUCUAUUGUGUGUUUCUCUCCCUUUCCCCCUCACCCUCCCAAAUCACCAAAUCUGGAAAACAGACUGAUUGUGUCUGCCCAUGAGCAGAGGAAACCCGAAGGAGCCAAGGGCCUGGCUGGACGGAGUUGCCAUGUGUCUGCCUGUCUACACUUGCUGUGCAGAACAUGCGCUCACCUGUACAGCAGGCACAGACAGGCAGUCACACGGCAACCCAGCCUGAGUGACCAGCAGCCACUGAGCACGAGCAGCCCUCACGCCGCAGCAUCCACACCAAGAGCUGUGGCCAGAGUGAGGGGUGUGGGGGCCUGGGGGUCGGAUCUGUUGGAUGAAUACUUAAUUCGUAUGUACUAUUUUAUUACUAUAUUUUGACUCAAAUAUUGAAACCCACCAAAAGUAAAGUGAGUGGUGCCGAUGAAAUAUAAUAAAACCCAUUUCUGAAAAUGUU